GCGUGUACAAGUCAAGAAAUGAAACUGUUCGGCAUGAAUAUCUGUAUUACUGUGCUUAUAUUUUUUGUUGUGGAAACCCUUUUUUGUAUAGCGAUUCUAGUUUGUCCGGAUUAUGUUUUUCAAAGGAUUGAAUUUAACAGCUAUCUAGUAUCCAAUCCUGAUACUACCUUUAACGGUGUAUCGGUUAAAGAGUGUGGUGAAAAAUGCGUGGGAAAAGCAGGCUGUGUUUCAUUCUCUUAUAAACCAGAUAUAAAAGAUUGUUACUUAUUUAAAUCAUGGAUUUGGUCAGGAAUGUCAGGGGUCAAUAAUGGAGGACUGGUUACAUACUGGCGCCUAGCAGAGGAAUGUCCUUUCGACUAUAUCUACAAUUCUACAUAUAAUGUAUGUUUUAAAGCCUAUAUUGGUGAUACAGAUAGAAUGACGUGGACUGAUUCUAUGGGGCGCUGUAAAAAUGAUAAUGGUUAUCUGUAUCUGGGAAAUUCUCUUGAGAAGUUAAAAAUGAUGAAAGAUUUAUAUGGUACAGCUACAGUCGUAGAUACUCGAGUGUUUGUUGGUGCGACUGAUGCUGUUCAUGAAAACGAUUGGAAAUGGCUAGAUGGUUCAGCUAUUGAAUAUUGGGGUGGUGGUGAACCUAAUAACAAAAAUGAAGAAGAUUGCGC